AGCAGUGGGGAAUUUUGGACAAUGGGCGCAAGCCUGAUCCAGCAAUGCCGCGUGAGUGAAGAAGGCCUUCGGGUUGUAAAGCUCUUUUGUCAGGGAAGAAACGGUGAAGGCUAAUAUCUUUUGCUAAUGACGGUACCUGAAGAAUAAGCACCGGCUAACUACGUGCCAGCAGCCGCGGUAAUACGUAGGGUGCAAGCGUUAAUCGGAAUUACUGGGCGUAAAGCGUGCGCAGGCGGUUUUGUAAGUUUGUCGUGAAAGCCCCGGGCUCAACCUGGGAAUUGCGAUGAAGACUGCAAGGCUUGAAUCUGGCAGAGGGGGGUAGAAUUCCACGUGUAGCAGUGAAAUGCGUAGAGAUGUGGAGGAACACCGAUGGCGAAGGCAGCCCCCUGGGUCAAGAUUGACGCUCAUG
rnacentral:rRNA from 1 species